AAACUACUCUCUCUGUUUCAUAAUUCUUGUCGAAAUAAUGCAUGUAUCUAGAUGUUUUUUAUGAAUAAAUACAUCUAUUUUUGUACAAAUUUGAGACAAAAAUUAUGGAACGGAGGGAGUAGCAA
rnacentral:pre_miRNA from 1 species